UACGUAGGGUGCAAGCGUUAUCCGGAAUUACUGGGUGUAAAGGGUGAGUAGGCGGCAUGAUAAGUAAGAUGUGAAAGCCCGCGGCUUAACCGCGGGAUUGCAUUUUAAACUAUCAAGCUAGAGUACAGGAGAGGAAAGCGGAAUUCCUAGUGUAGCGGUGAAAUGCGUAGAUAUUAGGAAGAACACCAGUGGCGAAGGCGGCUUUCUGGACUGAAACUGACGCUGAGGCACGAAAGCGUGGGGAGCAAACAGG
rnacentral:rRNA from 1 species